rnacentral:rRNA from 1 species
UACGGAGGGUGCGAGCGUUGUCCGGAAUCAUUGGGCGUAAAGGGCGUGUAGGUGGUUCUGUAAGUCUGGCGUGAAAUUUCUCGGCUUAACCGAGGCAGGUCGUCGGAUACUGCAGGGCUAGAGGACGGUAGAGGCGUGUGGAAUUCCGGGUGUAGUGGUGAAAUGCGUAGAGAUCCGGAGGAACACCAGUGGCGAAGGCGACACGCUGGGCCGUACCUGACACUGAUGCGCGACAGCAUGGGGGAGCAAACAGG